rnacentral:lncRNA from 1 species
AUGACUCAAGGAAGCCGAGCGGCAGAAGACCAAUAUAUCGGUGAUGCUGGCCCACGAACUCUAAGGACAGCUCCUGAAGAGGAGGGGGCGCCAGACGGAGGCUUCCACGUGAUUCCUGGACAAAUCUGUUUCCCCACAGAUGGUAGUGUUAAAUCGUCUAAAACAGACUCUGCACACCCCAGCUAUAGGUGCUCCCUAGCGCUCUGCAUCCCUGGGUGGCGCCUCCUUGGACUUCAGAUGUAAGCUGUCUGAUCCCUUGGACUUCAGAUGUAAGCUGUCUGAUACAUGUUCACGCAGCCUUCUCCCGAGCCCACUAACGUCUAAUGAUACGAUCUCAAUAAAAUACUUAAGAAAUAAACCA